AUGGGGAAAACGCCCUGGUUCAGCCCACAGUUUUGGCUAUUUUCCUCUCAGCCGUCCCUCUCCUGCAGGUCCUCAUGGGCUCUGAUACAUGACGGAGCCCGUAGACUCCCGCAGAUGAGGCAACUCCGUAAAAUGCAAUCCUGUGCCCGUGGGAGGUUUGACAGAGGCUCAGCGCUGCCAACAGCAGCUCAAUGCGUCUGUGCCAGGAUGGGCCGGGGGGAGGAUAACGUCUGCCACGAGGCCUCCCCCUCCCCGGCCAAAACCGGGGGGGUCGUGGCCCUGCCUAGGGGCUCCCCGAGGCAUGCGGGCGCUCCCCUGGGGGUGCCCAGGGGACGGACCCGUGCGGGGCUGGGUGACCGCGGCACAGCCCGGCUCCUGCUCUGCUGGCACGGCGGCCGGGAGCGCUGCAGGGCGCAGGGUGCCCGUCCAGGGUCGAGUCCUGAACUCGGGCACGGGGUGGGUGGGGGUGCACCUGAGAACACCCCGUACCUGUGGGGACUGGAGGUGGCUUUAAACGUCUGCAGCUGUGAUUUUCAGGGGAGGUUUCAGUGUCCUUGCGUCUGUCGUGUGGCGAAUAUUGCCACAUGGCCGGUGAAGUACAGGAUCACACGAAAAUACAAAAUGCAUUUUAGCUGUGGUACAUUCGGAGAUGCUUGUAAAACACUGCGGUUUGUCUCAGAAAUGCCUAAAAAUAACAUUCGGUUACCAAACCACUGCUGUAUGUGCAGCAGCGAGCCGUGCCAGGCAGCUGGGGGAGCUCGGCAGCAGCAGGGUUUGUGCCCCCGCCGGCGUGGUGCUGGCAGUGCCAGCCCUGGCCCCCCCAGGGACACGGCCCCCCGGCUGCGGCUGCUGCUCCCCCGGGGGCUCACCGUGAGUAGCGAUGGUUCGCGUUAUCUGAUUGCAAACCAGGGAUUUAUUCCCUGGGCCAUGGGCGAUGUGAACCCUCCUGUGCGAGGAGCAGCCGCUGGUGCGUGCAGCAGCCAGGGGCUGGCGCUCAGCAUCUCGGAGCAUCUGCCGGGCAGGCGGUGCCAGUUUCCAGCACUGCGUACCUCGGGUGCCUGUGCCGGGCUGUGUAGGUGCUAUGCCAUCGUCCCAGCGGUGCAGCGUGGCAGGGGGACGUCCACGGCUGGGUGGAGGGGGGUGAACAGAGCAGCUCCACAGCACCGGAUGCCCCCCAGGCUGUGUCCCCGGGGUGCCAGUGGCCACGGGCCGCACCGACCUCCCCAAAGCACGCCAGGGAAGUAA
rnacentral:lncRNA from 1 species